rnacentral:lncRNA from 10 species
UUUUAACUUCUGCCCUCUAGAACCGUAAGGUAAUAAAUUUGUGUUGUUUUCAGCCACCAAGUGUGUUACAAACUGUUGCAACCACAACAGGAAACCAAGACAGCCUCUCUCAUAAAGGCAAGCGGUAGCAGAAGGGCUAAAGGUCGCAAAUCUAGUGUGGUUUUGUGGAAUGUUUGUCAAAUAUUAUGUCUCACCUUUGGUCUUCAGACAAAACUCUUCAAUAACAGGAAAAGCCUCAUUGGAUUCUGUUUUAUUAGGCAGAAGGAGGUUCUUGGAAGGACAGCAUUAAGAAGUUCAUAGAAUUAAUGAACCACUAUAAAACCAGGCCGGGUUACAGAGAGAACUAAGAAAGCUGCAGAGCUCAAAAAAACAGGAAGAUUGUGCUCACAGAGAGCCCACUUAGGUGAAUGUAUCCCACCUUCUAAAUCUACCCAACUGGAGGGCAGGGAUGCAAGUCUUCUGUUAUCCACGGUGGGAGCCAGGCACCUGGAUUCACUAUCACACCAAGACCUGAUGGAAGGAAGGCAUGGGGAUGGAUGCUGAGUGCCCAAACACUGGUGAGGAGAUCUGAAGAGACUACGGAGGUAAAAGGGACAGAAGACCAAGAAGACUUUGAAGCGAUGACACAUUGCUUGCUAGGGCUGGAUUUCACACUGAAGAAUGACAGCAGAAGCCUUGCCUCACAAAAGGCACCAAACAGACCUUCCUACCUGCCCACGUUUUCCGUCUCGCUUGACAGCACCAGGUACUCCCGAGUCACGGUAUAUGUUUCUUGGAUACUUUAGUUGGAAACUGAGACAUCACAGGCUGCUAGGACUUAUCCUUCCUAAGACACCCAUUGAAUUAGGACAUCUCAGCUCUCAUUCCAAAUACCCCAGGCCAAGGUUUUCUCAACCUCAGCACAACCAACAUUUGGAGUUGGAUAGUUCCAGCUGUAACAACCAAAACUGUCUCCAGACAUUGCUAAUGUCUCCUGAGGUGAGGGCAAAAUGGCCCCCAGUUGAGAACCUCUGGCUUAGGCAAAUUUAUUAAUUAUAUACCUCAGUGAUAUGGUGGGGCGUGCAACAAUUUACCUCUAACCUUUCAGGGUUUUUCAGCUGGGCCUGAAAAUAAAAUUGACGUAAGACAGAUCAACAGGGAAAAAGCAUGCAAAUUUAUUUAAUACAAGCUUUAUAUUGCACAGGAACCUUUGUGUGAAGACACGAAGUUGCAGUAAGAGACAAACGUACACCAAAAUAAACAGAGUAGCAAAUUAUAAAACUGUGACAAUGCAAAGGGCUUGGGCUUGGGCUGGAGUAGUCAGUUGGGUAGAGCAGUGGCUAGGAGGAUAAAAUUAGCCAAAAACGGUUUGCUCAGAUUUCCCUCAGCCUCAACUUCUCAUCCUUGAUGGUAAGAAUGAUGCUUUCAUUCUAACAUAGGGAGGACAUCUUUCGCCUGGGAGUUUCAUCUCCUGCUUUUAAGAAACAGAAGGAUGGUCAGAGUGAUCUCGCACCUGUUGUUUUUCAAACGCCUUUGACUCAAAAUAAUCAAUUUGCCAGAGUGGCAUAUUUUUAACCUCUUCAGUAUCCUUAUGUGGCUUCACAGCUGUUCAAAGUUGUUAUUUCAUAACCCAACAGGCUGGACAAUUCACCUGCUGAUUAAAGUUAACAUAUUCUUCAUGGCACUCUGGGUCAUAAAAGGGAAUUAAAGUUGUGAUGGGAUGCAUGAGACCAGGAGGAUGACUCUGAUUCAGUCCCCUAAGAUGGAACUAAGAGAAGCAGUCCAUAAGUCUUGGGGGAAUUCUCUCUCUACCAUUGUGUAUCUGACGUAUUGUUUUAACAGCCAUGUAAAAUUGGAUCUGACUCUACUUACUCCAGAAAUAAUAUUUGUUGAUCACAGGGCACUACACAAUGAUUCAUGGUACAGACAAUCUGGUUGUCAUAUUUUCAUGUUUGCCAGACACUGUUGCUUCAAACCACUUGUACCCUUGAUAAAUGAAAGUGUGUGUGAAUCUCCCAAAAGUAUGUUAAAUAAACAC